UUUUGUCUCGUUGUCUACUUAUUUGUAUGAAAACACUUUGUGUUUCAAUGCAAAGAGGGGCAUGAUGUAGACACGUAAUUUUGUCCCUCCCCAAAAGCAUUUGUUUUAUUUUUUACCUUAUCCUACCCGUAUACCCCUUCCCUUUUUAGGAUAAUCACACAAAUAUAAAGGGGACCACAUGCCAUAAGUACUUAAACAAUACAAUAUAAUCACACAAAAAAAAACACCUCACUUGGGUCCAAUGAAAACCUUCCAGGGAGCAUAUAGAUAUACCACACAAUACAAAAGGGGGGACUCCACAGGAUUCUAUUUUAAAGAGGGGCCCACGGGAAAGGGAAAAACACAACAAUUAUAUACACACCAUGACCAUUUUUGGAUAAGGACGAAUAUAACAAAAAAAGGGACGGACCCACUUGGUGACAGAGAGCACAAGCACACAAUAUACUCCCUCACAAAUACACACAUAGGAAGGAAUUCCUCACAAUUUCCAUGCAGAAGAGAACAACCACUCCAUUUUUCCAUUUUUCUUUUCUGAAUAACGUAGACCACAUCCAUGAAAUUCAUCGCUGUAGUACGUACCCACACACAUAUAUCUCACCAUAAAACACUCACUGUCACUAGAAUCUGACCCUCUCCCAUCAGUUUUGUAGCCGUUUGAGCUCUGGAGUUUUGGCUAUACGUCCUUUUCUUGGUUUUUGUGACAAAUUCAGAUAUUUGUUGGUUCACUGCUCUUGGUAGAAUUUUGUUCGUGUAUUGUUUGUUUUCUACAAUUUUAUCUUGGUGUCACUGGAAGACGGUCAAAGGGAUGCAUACCGGAGCUGGGGGUUCGAGUUGAAGUUCCGAAUUGAGGUUUUUUGGCACGCGUAUUUGUAUUCUUGAUUGACUGAUAUUCAGAGUAAAAUUAUCAUUGAGGUUUGGAGGCUCAGUCUGAGGGUCCGGCUAAUCAGUAGAGUAUUCCAGAGAAAAGUGAUCCAUGCAGUGGUGAGCCUUCUUUGUUCCAGAAGGCUUGUUAUUUCGGAUUAUGUUAUUCCAGUGUUUGGUCUACUGGGGGCCUUGUCCCAGUUUUCAAAAUAGUUUUGAAAUGUAUUAGAGAUUUCGUAGACUAAAUCAGAUCUUAUCCAGAAGUUUUGAAAUUAGGCAAGGACUUGUGAAGAUUCUGUUAGUGCCUCAGAGUGUAUUGAUUCUAGUGUGAAUUUUGAUUCUGAUGAAAUCAUGCUUUUGAGCCUGCGGUAUUAAGUGUAUUCAGGCCCUUUCAAAA